UGGAAAGUCUGGUCAUAGUGGGUGAUAGCCCCGUACACGAAAAACUGCAUGAGAUGAAAUCGAGUAAGGCGAGGCACGUGAAACCUUGUCUGAAUAUGGGGGGACCAUCCUCCAAGGCUAAAUACUCCUGACUGACCGAUAGUGAACCAGUACCGUGAGGGAAAGGCGAAAAGAACCCCGGAGAGGGGAGUGAAAUAGAUCCUGAAACCGUAUGCGUACAAGCAGUGGGAGCC
rnacentral:rRNA from 1 species